GGUCUUUUUGUGUUUUCUACCCACCUUUACCUCCGUGACGGUGAGAUAUCGUGAUGUCCUUACUGGGAUAGUGUAGCUCAUUCCUUAUUUAAUCAUUUCAGAUCAGGAAGACAUUGUUCCCGAGCCAGUUCCGCAGGAGGACGACGAAGGAGACGCCUAAAGACUCCAUAGUCAUACUUGUAGCUUUUACUUUCAAGUUUCUCCUUUAGGUAGUUUGAUCUUUUAUAUUGUGAGCACGUUUUUGGUUUUAGUGUAAGGGAUGUUAAUCGAAUUUUUGAUUUCGCUUCCGCAUUUGAUAUUUAUAAUACAAAUCCCAUUAUGAAUUACCGGGGCUGUUACA
rnacentral:lncRNA from 1 species